AUUGAACGCUGGCGGCAGGCCUAACACAUGCAAGUCGAGCGGAUGAGGGGAGCUUGCUUCUCGAUUCAGCGGCGGACGGGUGAGUAAUGCCUAGGAAUCUGCCUGAUAGUGGGGGACAACGUUUCGAAAGGAACGCUAAUACCGCAUACGUCCUACGGGAGAAAGCAGGGGACCUUCGGGCCUUGCGCUAUCAGAUGAGCCUAGGUCGGAUUAGCUAGUUGGUGAGGUAAUGGCUCACCAAGGCGACGAUCCGUAACUGGUCUGAGAGGAUGAGCAGUCACACUGGAACUGAGACACGGUCCAGACUCCUACGGGAGGCAGCAGUGGGGAAUAUUGGACAAUGGGCGAAAGCCUGAUCCAGCCAUGCCGCGUGUGUGAAGAAGGUCUUCGGAUUGUAAAGCACUUUAAGUUGGGAGGAAGGGUUGUAGAUUAAUACUCUGCAAUUUUGACGUUACCGACAGAAUAAGCACCGGCUAACUCUGUGCCAGCAGCCGCAGUAAAAC
rnacentral:rRNA from 1 species